GGAAGCACACAAAAGCCCCAAUUAUUGCUACUUUUAGAGGAUGCUAGUGAAUGGGGGAUUUUGGCUCUGAUAUUAAUUGGCUUCCUUGAUCUCCCUCGGCCAGAAGUCAUUCUCUUUUGGAGCCACGGAGCACAUCUGUUGGGACACGUGAAAAUCUCGAGGUGGAAGAAAAGAUUGUCAGGUGGAGCUGAUCUAGGUAAUGCAGACAAUAGUGUGGACUUUAAAGACAUGGUCUGUGAGGGCUGGAGUCCACGGGUUGCCAACAUCCAAUGAAGGUGGAGACUGGUGGGAAAGAACACACCCAGAAAUGGAGACUCCAGCUGCUUGAGACACGACUGCACCCUGGACUUGCUAACUCCCACCGUAAAGCUGCCACAUGAGGUAUUCACGGGGUGGGGACUUUGGGCCGCAGAAAGGAAAUCUGUUAAAACCUCAUAACUGCCACUUCCACCCAGGCCAACCAACUCCUUGAGGCCAGAGGUGACAAAAAGAAGACUGAGUGAAGCAGGAGACACACAGAGCCCUGGAUUCUGAUCCAGCCUUGUCACUGGCCAGCUUUGUGGCGCUGGGCAUGGGUCACUGCUCUGGAACUUGGCUUACCUGUUUGCAAAAUGAGUUGGUAACACUCUUUGAUUUACGUCAUCCUGAAAAACAAAAACGU
rnacentral:lncRNA from 12 species